UUGUCUAUGUUCCUUGGAACAGGACGUCAUAGAGGGUGAGAAUCCCGUCUGAUGGGGUGUCCAGUGCUUUGUAGAUUUCUACCGAAGAGUCGAGUUGUUUGGGAAUGCAGCUCUAAGUGGGUGGUAAAUUCCAUCUAAAGCUAAAUACUGGCGAGAGACCGAUAGCGAACAAGUACAGUGAUGGAAAGAUGAAAAGAACUUUGAAAAGAGAGUGAAAAAGUACGUGAAAUUGUUGAAAGGGAAGGGUAUUGGAUCAGACUUGGUGUCUUGUGAUUAUCUUCCCUUCUUGGGUUUGUGCACUCGCAUUUCAUUGGGUCCAGCAUCGGUUCGGAUGGCAAGAUAAUGGCUUUGGGAAUGUGGCACUCUUCGGAGUGUGUUAUAGCCCUUGUUGAUGUUGCCUAUCUGGACCGAGGACUGCGGCUUUUUGCCUAGGAUGCUGGCGUAAUGAUUCAAUACCGCCCGUCUUUGAAACACGGACCAAGGAGUCUAACGUCUAUGCGAGUGUUGUGGGUGUAAAACCCGUACGCGUAAUGAAAGUGAACGUAGGUGAGAGCCCGUAUGGGUGCAUCAUCGACCGAUCCUGAUGUUUUCGGAUGGAUUUUGAGUAAGAGCAUAGCUGUGGGACCCGAAAGAUGGUGAACUAUGCCUGAAUAGGGUGAAGCCAGAGG
rnacentral:rRNA from 1 species